GAGGAGAGAGAGAGGGUCUUCACCUCGGAACCCUCUUUUUCCGAUUAGGAUGAAACCCCAUCGGAGCUUCACAAGGGCGUCGACUUCACUUCCCAUUCACAACGGAACAGAAACAGAGAAGGCUCAAGCAUCUUCUUGUUCUUGUUUGAUUCCCAUAACCGCAGCCCCCUGCAUCUCUUUCUGCUCCUCUUCUUCUUCUUGUUCGAUUCCCCUUUUUUUUCUCUUUUUUUUUCUUUUUUUUUUUCCUGUUUGGUCUUGCUAUUCAUCUCCUUCUGUUCUCUUAUUCUUCUUGUUUGAUUCCCCCCCUCCCUUUUUAUUCUAUAUAUUUUGUUUGGUCAGCAGCAUUUCUUCUUCUUUCAUCCCUUUUUUUUUUUUUUCCCUUUUUUCUAUGCUUGCAACCCAGACGGAAGAGUGGUAAGGGUCUUCUUCUUUGAUCCCUCUGGUUUUUUUUUUUUUUUCUAUGCUUGCAACCCAGGCGAAAGAGUGAUGAGGUUUUUUUUAUUUAUUUUUCCUGUUUGAUCUUUGUAGCAGGAUCGUGUAAUUGUUUGGUGAUCUGUGAAAUUUUGAGAAUCUGACCUUUUUCUUUGGC